rnacentral:snRNA from 1 species
AUCUUUCGCGACAGUGGCAGUAUCGUAGCCAAUGAGGUUUUUCCGAGCGCGCAUUAUUGCUAAUUGAAAACUUUUCCAAUACCCUGCCUUGACGACUUGCAAUACAGUCGGCACUGGCAAUUUUUGACAGUCUCUAUGGAGA